rnacentral:rRNA from 1 species
UACGUAGGUGGCAAGCGUUGUCCGGAAUUAUUGGGCGUAAAGCGCGCGCAGGCGGUCCUUUAAGUCUGAUGUGAAAGCCCACGGCUCAACCGUGGAGGGUCAUUGGAAACUGGGGGACUUGAGUGCAGGAGAGAAGAGUGGAAUUCCACGUGUAGCGGUGAAAUGCGUAGAUAUUGGGAGGAACACCAGUGGCGAAGGCGGCUCACUGGACCGGAACUGACGCUGAGGCGCGAAAGCGUGGGGAGCAAACAGG